CUGUGGGGACUGUGGGCUCUGCACUGCAUGAUCUACCCUGCUGUUGGAGAGCAGUGGAGGAUCAAGAUUCCCAUCCUGCUCAUGACAAUUGAAGGAAAUCCUAAGACCUCCCAAGACAAUGUGUGGUGGGGCCACCUGCUGCUGAAGUUCCUGAACAUGACACUGAAGACCAUCGAUGAUGAUGCCUAGAGCAGUCAGCUGAGCCUGGAGCUGCAGCAGCAGAUGACCAGUUA